GGGGAGAGGGGAGCGGGGCCGACACAGGACUGCAGUUGACAGCAGAUAACUGAAAGCUCGGAAAGCGAAACCGUGGAUAAGCAGGGGAACUGUGGCAUCCCAUUUAAAAUUGCUUCUGAAGAGAAGCAUGAGGUUACAUCUGUAAUCUCCCUGCAGCAGAGUCAACUGCAUAAGAAACCAAAAGACACACCUGCUCCAUGCCAGCCUAAGCCACCACAUAAAAAGUCAGACCAUCUGCUGGAAGAACCACAUGGAGAGGCCCUGAGUCGACAUGGAGAGGAAGAAGGACUUAACUGAAUCCAGCCUUCCAGCUGUCCCUACCAAGGUGCCAGGCACGAGAAUGAAGCUGUCUUGGACUCUGAAGACCAGCUUAGCCACCAGAUGCCAAACACUGAGCAGGCUUUGUUCUCCACCCACAAACCAGAGGCUGUCUCAGCAGGAAAGAGUUGGAGUUGGAGAAAAAGGAGAAUUAAGAAUCUAUCUGGCGAUGUGGAUUAAAUAAACAACAAAUUGGCAGAUUGUUUUUAAAAGG
rnacentral:antisense_RNA from 1 species